rnacentral:rRNA from 1 species
UACGGAGGGGGCUAGCGUUGUUCGGAAUUACUGGGCGUAAAGCGCACGUAGGCGGCUUUGCAAGUCAGAGGUGAAAGCCCUGGGCUCAACCCGGGAAUUGCUUUUAAUACUGUCGCGCUUGAAUUCGGGAGAGGGUAGUGGAAUUCCCAGUGUAGAGGUGAAAUUCGUAGAUAUUGGGAAGAACACCGGUGGCGAAGGCGGCUACCUGGCCCGACAUUGACGCUCAUGUGCGAAAGCGUGGGGAGCAAACAGG